rnacentral:miRNA from 1 species
CACUGGCCCGUAAAGUCCCGAC